GUCUGUCCUUAGCAGAACCUGGAUGAGUGGGCGAAUUGAUAUUGCCCUCAUCCAGGAACCAUGGCUCCCCAAUACCGGGCGCAUCAGCAGACUCGGUAAUUUAUCCGGUAAGUUAUUUUGCUCAGGGGAUAGACCCAGAGCCUGCUUACUUAUCAGGAACAACAUCAAUGCUUUUUAAUCUCAGAGCAUAGCGACCGCGAUUGUGUGGCUGCGGUUCUGAGAAUCCAAGGUGAGAAGGGCUGGACAGAAAUUGUCAUCUGCUCGGCAUACUUCCCCGGAACGGAUAGUGAUCUUCCCCCGGCCGAGGUGCGAUUUCCGCUGUCCAGUAGGGGGCGUCGUGUAGGUGCUCGUUCAGCAACACGGGAGAAUAUAGGAAGAGGAAAGUCCUCGACUCCUGCCCGAAGCUCGAGAGGGGCCGGUGGGCCGGCUACUCCAUCCCAAGCGAAAAGUAAACCUGCAGCACGCUAGGGCUGCUACGGCUAUCCUUAGCAGAACCUGGAUGAGUGAGCGAAUUGAUAUUGCCCUCAUCUAGGAACCAUGGCUAACCAAUACCGGGCGCAUCAGUGGACUCGAGCAUAGCGACCGCGAUUGUGUGGCUGCGGUUCUGAGAAUCCAAGGUGAGAAGGGCUGGACAGAAAUUGUCAUCUGCUCAGCAUACUUCCCCGGAACGGAUAGUGACCUUCCCCGGCCGCUGUGCGAGACAUAAUUGCCUACAGCCGGAGGAAUAACCUACAAGUUGUUGGAUGUGACGCCAAUGCCAACCACACAAUUUGGGCAAGCACCAACACACAUGAAAGAGGUGAGUUGCUUUUUGACUACCUACUACGGGAGGCUUACGUUAGUAAUGUAGGCGCCAAACCAAUCUUUGUUACCAGAAAUAGAGCAGAGGUACUUGCCAUUACGUUCAGCUCAAUUAUAUUAAGCUCUAAGAUAACCUCAUGGAGGGAAUCGUCGUGUUCAGAUCAUAGACAUAUUCAAUUUAAAAUUGACCUAGGGAUGAAAUCGGACUAUACGUCCCCGUGGCACUAAUUGGGAUCUGUUUAAGAGUUGCCUUGCAGAUAACCUAACUAGUGUCAUCGCAACCGUUAGGAACUGUGAUCAGGUUGAAAUAGCAACUCCGGUUCAGUCCUGAAAGAGUUAGUAUAUACUAAUUCAAGAAUACUAUUAAUUACCUAAACUACAGAACUUUUUGGCUGAAAGU